AUUCGCAUUGGCAAGUCCAGACUUGUUCUGUUUGUGUGGACUCAUUCUCUCCCCCCUCGUUUGUAGAGCCUGUUGGUAAAAUGCUGGCUGAACAAGGAAGCUAGCAGUAAAACCACUUUUUCCAUUUUUCGGGGUUGUUCCGAUGCCAUAGUCAAAAUGUUAAAAAAAAAAAGAACAAAAGAAUUUAUGGCUAUUUAACAGCUGGGUUGUAUAGCACCGUAUUUUUAAAAAGGGCCUUAGAGAAAGUACUCUUUUUUUGUUCGUUGCAGAUUGCCACACAGUGCUCUUUGUUUAUACUGCACAAUAUUUUAAUUAUUUUUGCGUACAGUUGUUUCUGGUAGACCGAGAUUUAUAUUAUUUUUUUCCCGGUGUUGUCCAAAAUGACACAUAUUUUCAAAAUUUCCCAUUUUAAAGUUAAUGAACCACCUAAAUGGAUUUCUGCCUGUUGUCUGCUGUAGGAGCGUUAAAAUCUUUAUUGAACUGAGCAAAUUCAUCGUGAGGGACAUAUUUUGCUAAUCAAAUUCAAGGAACGCAUUUUCCCGAAACUUCUUCAGUUGUUAAAACCAAUGGACAAGCUCCGAUGGCUGGAAACGUUAAGGCUGGCUUCAUUCAUUGCGACAGCGAGAAGGAUUGUCGAGAAGACUUUGUCACCGCUUACGAGACACAAAAGGUUCCUUUCCAUGACAUUGUUCGCAGCUUAGUUCUCGCGAAAAAAGUAUACAUAUUUAUGAGGACGCAAGAAACGUGUAUUUAAAGCUCAAAUUCAAAUAUGGCCAGAUCACAAAAUAGGUAAGCCAGCAUGUUAAUAGGCUGAUAUAGUUUUAUCAAAGAUACAGAUAUAGUAUGGGCUAUUUUUAUGAAGUUUUAGAUGGCGAUGGUUUUACUAGUAAGGGGAUGGAUCAAUUCAGAUCCAACAGGAACACAAAUAGUUACAUUCAGGAAAAUAAUAAA